GUCCGCACCGUAAACGAUGGAUACUAGGUGUCCGGCCUUUCGGGGCUGGGUGCCCAAGGGAAACCGAUAAGUAUCCCACCUGGGGAGUACGUCCGCAAGGAUGAAACUCAAAGGAAUUGACGGGGGCCCGCACAAGCGGUGGGAGCAUGUGGUUUAAUUCGAUGAUACGCGAGAAACCUUACCUGGGCUAGAAUGCCCGCGACAACCCCUGAAAGGGGGCCUUCCUUCGGACGCGGAGCAAGGUGCUGCAUGGCUGUCGU
rnacentral:rRNA from 1 species